rnacentral:rRNA from 1 species
GACGAACGCUUGCGGCGUGCCUAAGAAAUGCAAGUCGAACGGAUCAGGGGAGCAAUCUUCUGGUUAGUGGCGAACGGUCGCGUAACACGUAAGCAACCUGCCCUAAAGUGGGGGAUAACAGUCCGAAAGGAUUGCUAAUACCGCAUGUGGUCAAGAUUUGGCAUCUUAUCUUGACUAAAGCCUUGUGCGCUUUAGGAUGGGCUUGCGGCCUAUCAGCUUGUUGGUGGGGAACGGCCUACCAAGGCUUUGACGGGUAGCUGGUCUGAGAGGAUGGCCAGCCACAUUGGGACUGAGAGACGGCCCAGACUCCUACGGGAGGCAGCAGUGGGGAAUCUUGCGCAAUGGCCGAAAGGCUGACGCAGCGACGCCGCGU